AGAAAGUGGAGGGUCUUCCGUGUCGGCUGACUCAUUUGCUUUUUUGGGGAGCGUUUGCCAAUUUAAAAGGGAUUUUAUCUACGUGUGCUGGGUGACUCAUGGGAGGACCGUGAGGUUGAUAACGUUCGGAAAGCACUUAUAUACAAAUGUCCUGUUCACAACCCCAGUCCAUGGUAACCACAGCUAUGACUGUCCAGUGUCCACACAGCUCAACUCCAGUCCACUGUAACAUGAGCGUACAGUCUAUAGAAAUACCUGAGGACGUCUGGGGCUUGAUGACGACAGCAGCCUCCCUCGGCGAGCAACUGAUGUCACUCUCAGGAUCCAGGAGGGUCACGGCACCAAUGUAACGGGGGCAGUCCUAUGCUGUUCUUUGCUGGUCAGCCUGCUGCACGCCCGUCACUCUCGUCAUUAGCUCUGCGUUGUGUUCUAGUUGGGUGGGGCCCCAGGUGUUGUGGGGGGCCCUCAGUCUCUCAUCAUCAUCAUCAUCAUCAUGAUCA